GCGAUCUUGGAUGCAGGCAAAGAGACCCGACCCAAACCCUACUCGUUGCCGCCUUUGGUUGCUUUUGCACUGGACCAACCGAUAGCAAUUGGGGCUUUCCGACGGUAACCUUCUCUCUCCAAACCAAGUCAAAUUCCCGGCAAAUCUCGACCCAUCGACGAUGGCGCGCGGUGGCCACGGCGACGAAGACGAGGAGUUCGACGAGGUGGAGGAGGAGUAUGACGAGGAGCUGGAGGACGAGGAGGAGGACGACGGGAAGGUGGGCAGGAAGCGGAGCAGAUCCCAGUUCAUCGACGAUACCGCCGUGGAGGACGACGAAGAAGAGGAAGAAGACGACGAUGAGGAUGAGGAGUUCGGCGAUGAUAACCGCCGGGGCCGGAGGCAGAAGAGGCGCUCCGGUUCGGAGUUCUUGGAUCUCGAAGCGGCCGUGGAUAGUGACGAGGAGGAGGAGGAAGAAGAAGGAGAAGAUGAUUUUAUAAAUGAUGCUGGAGCUGACAUCCCUGAUGAGGAUGAAGGCAGAAGGGUGCAUCAUCCAUCAAUUCUAAUGCCAGAGGAUCAAGAAGAUGUUGAUGAGAUGGAGAGACAGGUCUAUGAAAGAUAUGCAAAAUCAAGCCAUAUAGAAUAUGCUGAGGAUGCCACUGAUGUUGAACAACAAGCUCUAUUGCCAUCAGUCAAGGAUCCAAAAUUGUGGAUGGUGAAAUGUGCGAUUGGUCGUGAGCGUGAAACAGCUAUAUGCCUCAUGCAAAAAUUUAUAGAUAGGUCAGAUCUCCAGAUCAGGUCAGCUGUUGCAUUGGACCAUCUUAAAAACUAUAUAUAUGUUGAAGCAGAGAAAGAAGCUCAUGUUAAAGAGGCUUGCAAAGGUUUACGGAAUAUAUACUCGUCAGCAAAGGUGAUGCUUGUACCAAUAAAAGAAAUGACUGAUGUUCUAUCAGUUGAAAGCAAAACUGUCGAUCUCUCUAGGGACACAUGGGUUCGGAUGAAGCUUGGCAUCUAUAAAGGAGAUCUUGCUAAGGUUGUUGAUGUUGAUAAUGUACGCCAGAAAGUGAUAGUCAAACUAAUCCCAAGAAUUGAUUUACAAGCCCUUGCUAAUAAAUUGGAAGGUAGGGAGGUUCCAAAGAAGAAGACAUUUGUUCCUCCACCACGCUUUUUUAACAUUGAUGAAGCAAGGGAGAUGCAUAUCCGUGUUGAGCGUAGGAGGGACAAAGAUACUGGUGAAUACUUUGAGAUGGUUGAUGGAUUGAUGUUCAAAGAUGGAUUUCUGUACAAAACAGUGUCCAUAAGAUCAAUAAGUUCACAAAACAUACAGCCAACUUUUGAUGAACUUGAGAAAUUCCGGAAGCCUGGGGAUGAUGCUGAUGGGGAUGUAGCUAGUUUAUCUACUUUAUUUGCAAACAGGAAGAAGGGCCAUUUCAUGAAAGGUGAUGCUGUUAUAGUUGUUCGUGGAGAUCUCAAAAAUCUGAUGGGAUGGGUUGAGAAAGUAGAGGAUGAUACAGUCCAUAUCAGACCAAAGAUGUCAGGGUUGCCUAAAACGUUGGCUUUUAAUGAAAAGGAACUAUGCAAAUAUUUUAAACCAGGAGACCAUGUAAAAGUGGUCUCUGGUGUUCAAGAAGGUGCAACUGGUAUGGUGGUAAAAGUUGAGGGCCAUGUUUUGAUCAUCAUAUCAGACACUACAAAAGAAGAUAUCCGGGUUUUUGCGGAUCAUGUUGUGGAGAGUUCUGAAAUAACCACUGGGGUCACAAGAAUUGGGGAUUAUGAGUUACAUGAUCUCGUGCUUCUGGACAAUAUGUCCUUUGGUGUAAUUAUACGUGUGGAAAGUGAAGCACUUCAGGUGCUCAAAGGUGUACCCGAUAGACCUGAGGUUGUGCUUGUUAAAUUGAGAGAAAUAAAAAGUAAGAUUGAACGACGAAUUAAUGCCAAAGAUCGAUCAAACAAUAUAGUGUCAGUCAAGGAUGUUGUGAGGGUUGUUGAGGGACCUUGCAAGGGGAAGCAAGGUCCUGUUGAACACAUACAUAAAGGGAUCUUGUUCAUCUAUGAUCGCCAUCAUCUUGAGCAUGCUGGUUUUAUCUGUGCAAAAGCUCAGUCGUGUAUAAUUGUAGGUGGAUCACAUGGGAAUCAUGACAGAAAGGGUCUAGAUCCUUUUGACUCAAGAUUUGGUGGUUUGAGAUCAUCCCAGUUUCUUCAGUCCCCAAGAAGACUGCCUCCUAGAGGACCUCCUAUAGACUUUGGGGGACGAGGCAGAGGUGGAAGAGGACAUGAUUCCUUAGUGAAUAAAUGUAUUAAAAUUAAAUCUGGUCCCAUGAAGGGAUAUCGUGGCAGGGUUAAAGAGGUUACAGGUCCCUUGGUGCGGGUGGAGCUGGAUUCACAGAUGAAAAUUGUUACAGUUAAGAGAGAGGAUAUUGCAGAUACUAAUACUAUAGCAACUCCAUUCCGUGAAUCUCGAUAUGGUAUGGGUAGUGAAACACCAAUGCAUCCAUCACGGACACCACUGCAUCCAAUGCAGACUCCAAUGAGAGAUCCUGGAGCCACACCUUUACAUGAUAGCAUGAGAACGCCAAUGCGUGAUCGGGCCUGGGCUCCAAUGAGCCCUGCAAGGGAUGGCUGGGAAGAUGGAAACCCUGGCACUUGGGGAAUCAGUCCACAAUAUCAGUCAACUUUAUACAAGUUGGCAAUUUAUUUCAGCCAGCAACUCCACCUGCCCGGUCAUAUGAAGCACCUACUCCUGGUUCAGGUUGGGCCAACACUCCAGGUGGUUAUAGUGAAGCUGCAACACCAAGGGAAAGCAGCUAUGGAAGUGCACCAAGCCCUUACUUACCAUCGACACCUGGCGGACAGCCAAUGACCCCAAGUUCUGCAUCUUAUCUUCCCGGUACUCCUGGUGGACAGCCCAUGACACCUGGAAAUGUUGGGCUGGAUAUUAUGUCUCCAACAAUAGGUGGGGAAGAAGGCAAUUGGUUCAUGCCUGACAUUUUGGUGAACAUUCUAAGGCCUGGUGAGGAUUCUAAUGUUGGAAUCAUCCGAGAGGUGCUGAUGGAUGGAUCAUGCAAGGUUACCCUUGAGUCAGCAGGAAACAAAGAGAUUGUGACUGCACUUCCGUCGGAGUUGGAGGUGGUGCGGCCGAGGAAAUCUGACAAAAUCAAGAUCAUGAAUGGUUCACUCCGUGGAGUCACUGGAAAACUCAUAGGCAUUGAUGGUUCUGAUGGAAUAGUGAAAUUAGAUGACACCUAUGAAGUCAAAAUAUUGGACAUGGUUAUUCUUGCUAAAUUAGCAACAUAGUAGACAUUGGUAUUGCCAGGGAGGAGAACUCAUCUAGGAAGCACCAGUUGGAUGCCCAUCUCCUGUUUUGAACCAGAAAGUUGAGCUUCGCCUCUUUCCUCACAAAAGAUUCUCUCGCCCCUCGUGAGCCAAAGAAACACUCAAGCUCUCUUAGCACAUUUCCUGUCCUAAACCAGAGCAGCGCUUGGUUUUGGCUCUUGUUUCAUGCGUUUUCUUGGUUCACGAUUCACUGUCUGCACCUAGUGGGAUGGCUUCGAUCAAUCCUUGUUAUAAAAUCUACCAUCAAUCAAGUUCAGUUUAUACUUUGAAGCUGAAGGAAAUUGAGUCAUGGUUCUAGUUGCACAUGAAGAUGUAAAUUUAUAAGUCCGGUCUACCUUGUUGAGUAGGUUCUCUGAGGAGCUUUGUGAGAAAAAUCGGUUGGUAUGCCACCGCACGUGGUAGAUUGCUGAAAGACAAAGUAUGUCAAGUUUGUAAUUAUAUUCUGUCGCCCGCUUUAUAUAUUUCAUACGAGAUCCAAAGGGCUUUACCAGUAUGGUGCAAGUAUGUUCCUUGUCCGAAAUUUCUUUUAUAUCUGGGAUGUUUUAGAAA